rnacentral:rRNA from 1 species
AAAACCGACUCAGGUGGACGGGGUGAAUAUCCCAAGGCGCGUGAGAGAACCCUGGUUAAGGAACUCUGCAAAUUGACACCGUAACUUCGGGAGAAGGUGUGCCGCUGGCGGUUAGUGACUUCGCGUCACGAAGCUGUCGGUGGUCGCAGUGAAAUGGCGGUUGUGACUGUUUACUAAAAACACAGGACUCUGCGAAGUCGUAAGACGACGUAUAGGGUCUGAUGCCUGCCCGGUGCUGGAAGGUUAAGGGGAUAUGUCAUCGCAAGCGAAGCAUUGAACCGAAGCCCCAGUAAACGGCGGCCGUAACAAUAACGGUCCUAAGGUAGCGAAAUUCCUUGUCGGGUAAGUUCCGACCUGCACGAGGGCAUAACAACAUCCGCACUGUCUCGACCAGGGACUCAGCGAAAUUACAUUGGGGGUGAAGAUGCCCUCUACCCGCGGAAAGACGGAAAGACCCCAUGAACCUUUACUGCAACUUGGCAGUGAUUUUCGGGUUGUUCUGCGUAGGAUAGGUGGGAGGCUUUGAAGCCGGGCUUCCGGGUUCGGCAGAGCCAACGUUGAAAUACCACCCUGAAUAAUCUGGAAAUCUAACCUGCGCCCAUGAUCUGGGCGAGGGACACUGCCUGGUGGGCAGUUUGACUGGGGCGGUCGCCUCCUAAAUUGUAACGGAGGCGUGCGACGGUUCCCUCAGGCUGAUUGGAAACCAGCCGUAGAGUGCAAACGCAUAAGGGAGCUUUACUGCGAGACUGACAAGUCGAACAGUUGCGAAAGCAGGUGUUAGUGAUCCGGUGGUACCACAUGGAAGGGCCAUCGCUCAUCGGAUAAAAGGUACUCUGGGGAUAACAGGCUGAUCGCGCCUGAGAGUUCACAUCGGCGGCGCGGUUUUGGCACCUCGAUGUCGGCUCAUCGCAUCCUGGGGCUGGAGCAGGUCCCAAGGGUUUGGCUGUUCGCCAAUUAAAGCGGUACACGAGCUGGGUUUAAAACGUCGUGAGACAGUUUGGUCCCUAUCUUCCGUGGGCGCAGGACACUUGAGAGGAGCUAUCCAUAGUACGAGAGGACCUGGAUGGACGAACCUCUGGUGCUCCGGUUGUCACGCCAGUGGCAUAGCCGGGUAGCCAUGUUCGGAACAGAUAACCGCUGAAGGCAUAUAAGCGGGAAGCUGGCCUCAAGACUAGGUGUCCCUGACGCAAGUCACUAAAGGCCCCUCGAAGACUACGAGGUUGAUAGGCUCGGUGUGUAAGCGCUGCGAGGCGUGGAGCUAACGAGUACUAAUAGGCCGUGCGACUUGACCCC